rnacentral:rRNA from 1 species
GAUGAACGCUAGCUACAGGCUUAACACAUGCAAGUCGAGGGGAAACGACAUCGAAAGCUUGCUUUUGAUGGGCGACGACCGGCGCACGGGUGAGUAACGCGUAUCCAACCUGCCCACCACUUGGGGAUAACCUUGCGAAAGUAAGACUAAUACCCAAUGAUAUCUCUAGAAGACAUCUGAAAGAGAUUAAAGAUUUAUCGGUGAUGGAUGGGGAUGCGUCUGAUUAGCUUGUUGGCGGGGUAACGGCCCACCAAGGCAACGAUCAGUAGGGGUUCUGAGAGGCAGGUCCCCCACAUUGGAACUGAGACACGGUCCAAACUCCUACGGGAGGCAGCAGUGAGGAAUAUUGGUCAAUGGACGAGAGUCUGAACCAGCCAAGUAGCGUGCAGGAAGACGGCCCUAUGGGUUGUAAACUGCUUUUAUAAGGGAAUAAAGUGAGUCUCGUGAGACUUUUUGCAUGUACCUUAUGAAUAAGGACCGGCUAAUUCCGUG